GGGCUCAUCGGCUAGUCUGGUAGGCUUCCAGCUUCGGAAGCUGGCGACCUGAGUUCAAAUCUCAGUGGGCCCA
rnacentral:tRNA from 1 species